rnacentral:rRNA from 1 species
UACGUAGGCAGCAAGCGUUGUUCGGAAUUACUGGGCGUAAAGGGCUCGUAGGUGGCCAACUAAGUCAGACGUGAAAUCCCUCAGCUUAACUGGGGAACUGCGUCUGAUACUGGCUGGCUUGAGUUUGGGAGAGGGAUGUGGAAUUCCAGGUGUAGCGGUGAAAUGCGUAGAUAUCUGGAGGAACACCGGUGGCGAAGGCGGCACCCUGGACCACCACUGACACUGAGGAGCGAAAGCCAGGGGAGCAAACGGG